rnacentral:rRNA from 1 species
GGGGAUCUGCCCGAUAGAGGGGGAUAACCACUGGAAACGGUGGCUAAUACCGCAUAACGUCGCAAGACCAAAGAGGGGGACCUUCGGGCCUCUCACUAUCGGAUGAACCCAGAUGGGAUUAGCUAGUAGGCGGGGUAAUGGCCCACCUAGGCGACGAUCCCUAGCUGGUCUGAGAGGAUGACCAGCCACACUGGAACUGAGACACGGUCCAGACUCCUACGGGAGGCAGCAGUGGGGAAUAUUGCACAAUGGGCGCAAGCCUGAUGCAGCCAUGCCGCGUGUAUGAAGAAGGCCUUCGGGUUGUAAAGUACUUUCAGCGGGGAGGAAGGCGAUGGGGUUAAUAACCUUAUCGAUUGACGUUACCCGCAGAAGAAGCACCGGCUAACUCCGUGCCAGCAGCCGCGGUAAUACGGAGGGUGCAAGCGUUAAUCGGAAUUACUGGGCGUAACGCGCACGCAGGCGGUCUGUUAAGUCAGAUGUGAAAUCCCCGGGCUUAACCUGGGAACUGCAUUUGAAACUGGCAGGCUUGAGUCUUGUAGAGGGGGGUAGAAUUCCAGGU